UGCGUAGGCGGUUUAUUAAGUCAGUGGUGAAAGACGAUAGCUCAACUAUCGAGGUGCCAUUGAUACUGAUGAACUUGAGUGCACACGAGGUAAGCGGAAUGGACGGUGUAGCGGUGAAAUGCAUAGAUAUCGUCCAGAACACCGAUAGUGAAGACAGCUUACCAGAGUGCAACUGCGCUGAGGCACGAAAGUGUGGGGAUCAAACA
rnacentral:rRNA from 1 species